UGGUCAUCUACUAUGUGCUGGUCACAGUGCCAGGUACCAGAAGAAAACUGUAAAUACAAGUCAUUUUUCUAGUGGAAUUUUCACCCUAUACCACAGUCCAGGAGGACUGAGUGGACUGAGCGGGACCACUCUACUAUUACAGUUGAGAACACCCACAUUGCACAGAGUGUGUGGUAAAGAGCUUGAGUUUCUGGGCCCAGGCUGUCUGGGCUGGAUCCCAGUGGUGCGGCAACUGGGCAACAUUAUUUGACCUUUCUGAGCUCCGCUGCCACAUGUGUAAAGUGAGGAUCAUACUCGGAGCCGCCUACCUAAACCACUGUUGUGAGGACAAGACGAAAUAGAUGAUGUGUUGUGUCCAACGCAUGGGACAGACCUGGCGCGCAGGAAGGUGGAAGAUGCAUGUUGAGUGAAUGAAUGAGGUUACCCGGCUGUAAGUAGCUAAGGAGGAACUGCAUCCCAGGGUCUCUGAUCCCACAGCCUAGGCUCACCCUGCACCUGGCUCAGCGGUCAACCGGCGCGCCGGCACCUGCUCCGCGGAGCCCGUGCGCCCUGGCGCAGGGCGACCCCGAGCCGCGCCCUCUCCCACUCCGCCCGCAGGUCGGCGCUGCUGGGCAAGGUGCUGCGCAUCGACGUGGACCGUAAGGAGCGCGGCCUGCCCUAUGGCAUCCCGCCCGACAACCCGUUCGUGGGCGACCCCGCCGCGCAGCCCGAGGUCUAUGCCCUGGGCGUGCGCAACAUGUGGCGCUGCUCCUUCGACCGCGGCGACCCCGCUUCGGGCGCGGGUCGCGGGCGCCUCUUCUGCGGCGACGUGGGCCAGAACAAGUUCGAGGAGGUGGACCUGGUGGAGCGCGGCGGCAACUACGGCUGGCGCGCGCGCGAGGGGUUCGAGUGCUACGACCGCAGCCUGUGCGCCAACUCCUCCCUCAAUGACGUGCUGCCGAUUUUCGCCUACCCUCACACGAUUGGCAAGUCGGUCACAGGGGGCUACGUGUACCGGGGCUGCGAGUACCCCAAUCUGAACGGCCUCUACAUUUUUGGGGAUUUCAUGACCGGGUAAGUGACCUAGUGCCCUCACGCCCCUGGCUGCUGCCACUGGCUCCUUGGAACUGGCUCCUUGGUAGAGGAGUGUAUGUAUGCGCCUGUUCCUGCACAUGUGCCUUGCUGCUCUGACAGGGACCCCCAGGUGGGGGCCGGACACCCACAUCCACCCCGUUUUCUCCUGAGAUGUAUGCUGAGCCUUUGUUGCAGGCCUCAGUAACCCUGUGAUAGACACACAGCUCAUGGCAUGAAAGACUGGAGGCUUGCUUAAGUGCGGGUCCGGUGGUCCUCCUGUCCCUCCUCAGAACCAUGGGCUCUGGGCCUGACAGCAGUUCUAAUGGGCAGG
rnacentral:lncRNA from 1 species